CGAGCUGUGGAAUCGGUCAUUUCAUUUUCAUGGGAAAAGAGGCUCUUCUUAACUUUAACAGCUUUGGUCACCCGAGGAAGAGUUCUAAAUCACAUCAUCAUCAAAUAAGGGAGUUCUAACAGUCCAAAUAAGAGCUGAGUGUCCAAUUAGAGCUGGGUGGCUCAGGAGGGCACUAUUGGCAUUGUUUGAGAUGGUUCUUUGCUGUCAUGUGGUGAUCGAACUGCAGGCGCCUUGCAGGACAAUCAGCACCCCCCCACACACACAGAAUGCCAGAGACCCCCUCAAGCCAAUGUAAUACCCCAAACCCACCCCCCACGACUUUCACAGGGUUUCUGGGAACAGGGGAGGAUCCUGCCCCAGGUGAGAACCAAUGAAACGGAGGGUUGCCUACUUCUCUCUCCUCUUUGCAAGAAUUCGGUUCUCCAAGGAAUUAGGAGAGAGCAGAAUCGAACCGGGGACAGCCACCAGUAGGAGAAGAUUUCUGGCAUCUGAACCUCAUUUCAUAAGAGCCACCUUUGAGAGAGAGUUCCGUCAACCAACUAACCAGCCAAUUAGGAUCCAUCAUUGAAGCUCGCACGUUGAACCACGGAUUGAUGACCGUGCUUCCUUCGUUCCCCCUCAGGUCCCAAAGUGGGACCUACAGAAUCGUUUUCAAGUGGAAUAUGAGUGGUGGUUUCCCCCAGUUAAGCAGAGGAGUCGAGCUCAGAAACUCAGUUCUUCUCCGACUUUGUAAGCUCAGUGUUUCGGAAUCAUUCACUGCCAUCUGCCUUCACAGCCUCCAGGAAACAAGGAACAGGAAAGGAGAGAACAAUGGAAUCCAUGGACCGGUGGGUUGCCCCCUCAGCUCUGCCUCUUAAGAGUCUCUGAACAGUUACUCAACCUC